CACGUAGGGUGCAAGCGUUGUCCGGAAUCAUUGGGCGUAAAGAGCUCGUAGGCGGCUUAGUAAGUCGGGUGUGAAAACCCCAGGCUCAACCUGGGGACGCCACCCGAUACUGCUAUAGCUAGAGUCCAGUAGGGGAGUGUGGAAUUCACAGUGGAGCAGUGAAAUGCGUAGAUAUUGUGAGGAACACUAGUGGCGAAGGCGAAUCUCUGGACAGUUCCUGACGCUGAGGCACGAAGGCCAGGGGAGCAAACGGG
rnacentral:rRNA from 1 species